CCCUUAGAUGUCCUGGGCCGCACGCGCGUUACACUGGUGCAUUCAACGAGCUUAUAACCUUGGCCGAGAGGCCUGGGCAAUCUUGUUAACGUGCAUCGUGAUGGGGAUAGAUUAUUGAAAUUAUUAAUCUUGAACGAGGAAUUCCUAGUAAACGCAGAUCAUCAAUCUGCAUUGAUUACGUCCCUGCCCUUUGUACACACCGCCCGUCGCACCUACCGAUUGGAUGGUCCGGUGAAGCCUCGGGAUUGUGGUUCUUGCCGCUUUAUUGUGGCGUGACCGCGAGAACUUGUCUAAACCUUAUCAUCUAGAGGAAGGUGAAGUCGUAACA
rnacentral:rRNA from 1 species